AAGUGCCUGUCAGCCGCCGGCCGCGCAGCCGCAAUCAGGACACGUGGCACUUCCGGCUCCGGGCUCGCAGCAGCCGCCGCCGCGCCGGCGAACUCUUCUCUGCCAGCCGGGCUGCCCCGAGGCCACCUGACAGCUCCUGGUGCCCCGACCCCGACGACCGUGCCCGGCCUCGCCGCCACGUCACCGACUCUCACGGCCGGCCGGAAGUGCCGUGUGUCACCGCUACGGAAAUUCCCGCCGUUGUGAACGUGACCUCGCUCGCAGAGCCAGGAUCGUGGGGCAAUCUGAGAUUCAGUAGCCGCUUUCGUGGGGUGGGACUGACAGUUCCUCUCCUCGGGUUUUGUGAAGAUUACCUGAGACCAUAGAAGUCAUCGUCCUCUGUUGAGACCGUACCACCACUGGGAGCUGGGGCGGUUAAUGUUCAUCGCAGUAUUUCAUUCACAUUUCGUCUUCGUGUUUCAGAUGUAAAUUAUAAGGGGUUUUAAAAAGAGGUGGUUAAAUAUGUGUACAUGUUAAUAGUGUGAUCAAGCCAAGAAGGAGGCCUUUGUCUUUGACUGGAGGACUCAGAGGAAUUUUAAUUUUGAAACUCGCUGAUUCACAGCAUAGUCACGCUCAAGUUCAUUAGCACAUUUAAAUGGCAGUUUUGUUUCCUCUUCUAAGAGUUUACAGUAAGGUAAAGAACUCAAACUUCCUUUCAGAGCAAGUAGACUUUUUUUUUUUUUGCAAGUUGACUUUUUUGACUUUUGAAGCCAAAGGGAGGUCGAAACUGCGGUGAUUGGACAACAUAGUUAAUUAAUGAUUGAGUAAUCAUCUUAGCUGCCUUCAUUCUAUUUAGGUUUUUCCUGCUCUGUGCUGACGAUAAAGCCCUCCUUUACAGAUUUGUACUGUGGAUUAAAAUGUCAUGCCA
rnacentral:lncRNA from 1 species